rnacentral:rRNA from 1 species
UAUGAAGGUCAGGCUGAAGACCUUACCCGAUUAGCUGAGAGGUGGUGCAUGGCCGUCGUCAGUUCGUACUGUGAAGCAUCCUGUUAAGUCAGGCAACGAGCGAGACCCACGUCCACAGUUGCCAGCAUACCCUCCGGGGUGAUGGGUACGACUGUGGAGACCGCCGCUGCUAAAGCGGAGGAAGGAGUGGGCAACGGUAGGUCAGUAUGCCCCGAAUCUCCCGGGCUACACGCGGGCUACAAUGGUUGGUACAAUGGGCAUCUACCCCGAAAGGGGAAGGAAAUCUCUUAAAGCCAAUCGUAGUUCGGAUUGAGGGCUGCAACUCGCCCUCAUGAAGCUGGAAUCCGUAGUAAUCGCGUUUCAACAGAACGCGGUGAAUACGUCCCUGCUCCUU